AAAGAAAACAGCCUCAUUAACCACCAUCAAAUAAAAAGGAUAAACAUUAAGCCCUACUAAAUUUCAUACUGCAGAAAUCUGGAAUUUUUGUUUCCCCAAGCUAUCAGACUCCUCAAUACCCAGAGCCUGGACUGACACCAACUUACUGUCCUAUUGUCCUGUUUAUAAUUUAUUGUAAUGCCUGCACUGUUUUGUGCACUUUAUGCAGUCCUGGGUAAGUCUGUAGUCUAGUGUAGUAUAGUUGUUUUCUUUUCUGUGUUGUUUUUUUACGUAGUUCAGUCUAGUUUUUGUACUGUGCCAUGUAACACCAUGGUUUGACUGUACAUCGUCAAAAUGAUAAUAAAAGUGACUUGACUUGAUACAAGUAAAUAACUUGGACAGAAGUGCAGACUGAUCAGUAAGUUUGUACAUGUCAUAAAACUUUUGUGGACUAUGAUGAAAAUUGCCAGAAGAUAUAACAUGAUAUAGAUCACUUAGAGCUAUAGGGAGAAAAAUAACAAAUAGGACUUGCCCCGAACCAGGGCAAGGUACAAAAGGAAAAAUACAGUUAAUGACAGGAUCUUUAACACCACUGACAUUCAGAGGCACAUUGGCGUCAAAGAUCCACACAUCCAUGAAAGCAGCAGAAAGUAGAUAGUGGUAACUGUAUAGAAUGGCAUGAUCGUUUUCAUCUCUAGGGGAGUGCAGCUGUAUAAAACAUGAUUAGGUUGCACAUGGAGUACUGCAUGCAGUUCCGGACAGCCCAUUACAGGAAAGAUUUGAGAGGGUUCCGACAAGAUUUACCAGGAUAUUGCCUGAAUUAGAGAUCAUAAGACACAAGACUAGAAUUAAGCCAUUUGGUCCAUUGAGUCUGUACUUGUAUUAGAGGGGUCGUAACUGUCACGUGCCCAUUACCUGGUCGAAAGACACACCACCUGCCAAUCAAAGUUUGACCCCUCCUCACCCAUCAAUGCACACCUAACCACUGGCUCCUUUAAUUAGCCUUGUACUUGGCCUCGGGCAAUUGGCCUUUGUAAUCAGCUUAACUCGGCUGGCACCGAGCCACUGGCUUCCCCAUGAAUUACCUGAACUGGACUCACCAGCCCUGCUGCACUAUAAAGGAAGCCACGUGUGCUUGACUCGCUCUCUUUUUUGCUAUUCCCGAGGGGCCACCCUGCCGUUGGUGAGUUGUGUAUUGAAUAGGGAUGGGAGUGUGGGUAUUGUCCCUAAGCAGAAGAGCUGUGCCUGCAUAAAGUCAAGGGGGCGGGUAUCAUAUUGACAGUGUGUGUGCGCGCGCGCACGCUUUGUUCGCACACAAUUCUCCCACAUUCGUUAUUAACUGUCCGUGUGUUUUAUUGCCAAUCCGACUACUGUAAAUUGUAUACGUGUGUUGCUCCUGUUGCCAUUUUCCCACAUUUGCCUUCUGUAAACAAAAUCCUUUACUACCAAGGCUGCGUGUCCAGAGUCCUUGUCCGUGAGACCUAUCAAAUCUGUUUCCUCACUCACAAUAGCACUGCCAUUCCAUUAUGCCUGAUUUGUCAUCCUUCUCAACCCCAUUCCCCUGCCUCUCCCUGUAACCUUUGACACCCUGACUAAUCAGGAGCCCAUCAACCUCUGCUUUAAAUAUAUCAAGUCACUUUUUACUGUCAUUUCAACCAUAACUGCUGGUACAGUACAUAGUAAAAAUGAGGCGCUUUUUCAGGACCAUGGUGUUACAUGACAGUACAAAAACUAAACUGAACUACGUAAAAAACAACACAGAAAAAAAACUAUAUUAGACUACAUUAGACUAUAUCCAAUGACUUGGCUUUCUCAGCCAUCUGUGGGAAUGAAUUGCAAAAAUUUACCACUCUAUGGCCAAAUUCCUCAUCUAUUCCAGAUGGACAUCCCUCUAUUCUGAGGCUGUGCCCUCCAGUCAUAGACUCGCCGACUACAGGAAAGUUUCAGGGCAAUUUCCCCCCCCCCUCCCCGACCCCCCCAUUCAUCUAAACUCCUUUGAGUAUAGGCCUAAAGCCAUGAAAUGCUCCUCAUAUGUUAACCCUUUCAUUCCGCUGGACUCUAUCUAAUGCCAGCUCAUUUCCUUACAUGAAGGACCUAAAACUGCUUAUAAUACUCUGUGCUGUCUGACCAAUGCCUGAAAAUUCUCAGUCUUACAUCCUUGCUUUUAUAUCCAAGUUCUCAUUUGCCUUCCUCACCACCAACUCAACCUGCAACCUUCAGGAAAUCCUGCACAAGGACUCUCAAGUCCCUUUUUCACUUCUGAACUCUUAAUUUUCUCCACAUUUAAAAAAUAGUCUAUGUCUUUAUUCCAUCUACCAAAUGCACGACCACACAUUUCCUGACACUUCUGGAGAAUUGCAAAUGUCACACUGUAUCAAAAGGCAGAGGGGGAGGUGUGGCUCUGUUGGUAAAAAAUGAACUCAAAUCCUUAGAAAGAGGAAAUUCAGGAUUGGAAGGUGUGGGUAGAGCACAGAAACUGAUGGUAAAAAGACCCUGAUGGGAGUUAUGUACAGAGCUCCAAAUAGUAGCAAAGAUGUUGUAAUUUGAAGUCUACAGGUGAUGAAAAACGCAUGCCAAAAAGGACAAUAAUACAAUUGUCAUGGGGGAUUUCAAUAAAUCAGGUUGGUGUGGGAUUUCAAGAGGGGGAAUUUGUAGAGUGCCUACAAGAUGGCUUUUUAGAGCGACUCAUGGUUGUGCCCACAAGGGGAUCAGCUAUUCUGGAUUGAGUGUUGUGCAAUGAAUCGGAAUCAAUGAGAGAGUGUCAGCCUUAGAGGAAAGCUAUCAUAAGGUGUUUGAAUUGACCCUGAAAUUUGAGAUUGAGAAGUUUUAAGUCAGAUAAUCUAGUACUAUAGUAGAGUAAAUGAGAGGCAUUAGAAAGGAGCUGGCCAAAAUUGACUGGAAAAAGAACACUGGCAGGGAUGACGACAGAACAGCAAUGUUUAUGGAAGCAAUUUGGAAGGCACAGGAUAGUUGUUUCCAAAGGAAGAAGUAUGGCAGGAUGAUACAACCAUGGCCUAAAGAGACGUCAAAGCCAAUAUAAAAACCAAAGAGAGGGCAUAUCAUAGAGCAAAAAUAUAUUGGGAGGUUAGAGGAUUGGGAAGGUUUUAAAAAAACAGAAAGCAACUGAAAGAGUCAAAAAGAAAGAAAAGAUGGAAUACAAAGUAAGCUAGCCAAUAUUACAAAACAUCAAAUGUUUCUUCAGAUACGUAAAGUGUAAAAGAGAACCAAGAGUAGAUAUUGAACCAGUGAAAAAUGUUGCUGGAGAGGUAGUAAUGGAAGACAAGGAAAUGGCAGACAGAGUGAAUAAGUAUUUUGCAUCAACCUUCACUGUUGGUGAUAAUUUAGCAGUACGCUGUAAGUUGGAGAGUCAGGGAGCAGAAGUGAGUGAAGUUGUUUGGGAAACUGAAAAGUCUAAAGGUAGAUAAAUCCCCUGGACCAGAUGAUCUACACCCCCAAGGUUCUGAAAGAAGUAGCUGAAGAGAUUAUGGAGGCAUCAGUAAUGAUCUUUCAAGAAUCAAUGGAUUCCGGCAUGGUUCUGGAGGAUUGGAAAAUUGCAAAUGUCACUCCACUCUUCAAAAAGGAAGGAGGCAGAAAAAAAGUAGAAAUCACGGAUGCUGGACAAGUACAAAAACGAAUUCUGAUUACUCUCAUUGUCACCUACUCUGACUGGGUUGUAUCAAAGAGCUUUCAUCACCAAUUAAAUUACAAAUCAAGCUGAAGGAUUCUGCAAUUCAAUUCCUUAGUGGAGCAUUGCCUUUUGGAAGCUUCGUCUCCUUCUGCCGAAAGAAUGAAAAAACCGUAAUACCAAAUGUACCAAAAAUUUCCUGGAGAUACCAGAUAUAUUGUCUUUUAAGGUCAAAAUUCCUCUCUCCAUCCCUUAAAAUGGAGGAAUAAUAAAGACUUUUUUGCAAAGUUAGCGAAAAUUCAGCAUACCAUCUCAAACUUCUGACAGUUUCUGUAGAUGUGUAGUGGAGAGUAUAUUGGCUGGCUACAUCACAGCCUUACAUGGAAACACCAAUGGCUUUGAAUGGAAAAUCCUACAAAAAGUACCCAGUCCAUUAUGGGUAAAUCCCUCCCCUCCACUGAGUACAUAUACAUGGAGUGCUGUCGCAAGAAAGCAGCAUCCAUCUUCAAGGACCCCCACCACCCAGGCUAUGCACUCUUUUCACUGCUGCCAUCUGGAAGGUGGUACAGGAACUCAGGACCCACACCACCAGGUCAGGAAAAGUUAUUACCUCUCAAUCAUUAGGAUCUCAGACCAAAGGGGAUAACUUCUCUCGCCCCUUCACUGAACUGAUCCCACAAACAAUGGACUCACUUUCAAGGACUCUUCAUCUCAUGUUCUCAAUAUUUAUUACUUAUUUAUUUAGUACUGUACAGUUUUUGUCUUCUGCACAUUAGUUGUUUGACCAUCCUGUUAGUGCGGUCUUUCAUUGAUGCUAUUGUGUUUCUUUGAUUUUACUGUGUAUGCCUGCAACAAUGAAUCUCAGGGUCAUAUUUGGUGACAUAUGUACUUUGAA